AUUCAUAAAUUAGAAUAAGAAAAAAAGCAAAAUGAAAAGAACAAAAAGAGUCCAACUUUCUCUUCGUUUCUAUUUUUCCCCAAUUCCAAAAGAAAAAACCCUUGCCGUGAAUUCUCAAAUCCACAAUGAGAAAGCUUCCAUCAUCUUCGACGAGAACUUGCUCACCAAUCCAAACCUCUGCGAUUUGGCGCCACCGCCGAUGAGAAGCUGUGAUUUUGCAUAGUCGAUUUUCGCUUUAAAUGGUUUAGUUGUGCUUCUCUUCGUCCCAUUCGUGUUUAUUUCUCUGCGUUUUAUUUCUUGGUGCUCUAUUGUGAAUUUUCCUUCACAAAUGAAGAAUUAUUUUCGAUCUUACUUUGAUAUAUAUAGUUGUUAUAUGUGGAGCUAGGUUUAUCUCCUUUGUGAAAGAUCUCCGUCGCAAUGUCGACGAUUUUGGCGUUCUGAACUUGCUCCCCCGCUCACCUCGCCGCUUCCCCAAUCAUUGUAACUUCUCAUCUCUAAUUGUUUAUCGGUUACUUUGGUGUUAUCCUCUGUAUAUUCGACUAAACCUUUUCUUCAAGUUUUUAUUUAUUUUUAUGUUGGUGGUUUAAUUUUCUCCAAUAUUGAUGUUUCUGCUCAAUUGUUGCAGAUAUAGGUGAAGAGCACUAAAGUUACAAAAAUUGUGUUGUAGUUCUACAUCUACAUUUAACUAAUACAAUGUUUGAGUCUGAUGCAGUUUUACAUCUACAACUACGUGCUCUACAUGAUUUAUCAUAUACAGGUAUCUGCUUGAAUUGCAGCUCUUCAUCUACUGAUGUUGGGCUCUGUUGUUGAGCUCUAUCUAUAUCCUCAUCCACUGCACAAGUAAAUGCAAUCCAAAGUCUUUAGUUAUAAUGGCGUAGUGUUGUAUGUUUGCACCUAUUUAUUUGAUGUCUGCGCCAACUAUAAUAUGGAUUUGGCAUAGUGUUCAGAUUAUGGUUGGGAGCUCUUCUGUGGGGAAUUCCAUAUGAGAAUAGAGUUCUCAUUCUUUUGGAAAUCCAAUUUAAUUAGCAUUACCUCUUGUUUUAUAUUUUCUUCUGAUCCUGUUUUCCAACCCUCAUCAAAUAGCUCAAGAUUAAUCAUAUAUCAAUUUGAGUUUCUGGAAUUUCAGAGGUGAAAGAAUGCCUGGCAGAUCACAUUGUUUAAAGAAUCGAUUCAUGUUGUUACGUUCUUGCCAUCCCCCUUUUUUCACAAGUAAUAUAUUGAUAUUUUUCAAUUUUUAUUGCCUAGUCCAUAAUAGAUAGUUAAUAGUUGUGUAAUCUCAAUUCAAUUUUUAUUGCUUGGUUCAUGAGACUGAAGAUAAUAUUUUGCAAUUCUACACAAUUUUCUCCAAAUGUUACCAUCCUUGUAAUAAGAGUAGUUGAUUUAUUUCAGAACUCGAAGAAGUAGAAACAGAUUGCUGAUUUAACUUGCUCCCUUUCAGUUUCUAGAGAGAGAGAGACGAGGACAACUGCACUAAAGUUGCAUAGAUUAUUCACAUUUCUAAGGAAGGAGAUAUGAACAGAGGAGGCAUGACACUACUGCUUCUUUCCUUACUGAAAUUAUACUAGCCCUAAAAGAGGUUUGGUGUAUCAUUUGUAGAUGUGAAUUGCAGUCUUGCCAUGGAAAUGUGAAUUGGCUCAAAAAGAAAAGGGCUUUUCAUUGCCCAUGUUUGGUUAUCUCACUCCAAAAUCAUCAAGCUCUUUUCUUUUCUAUUGACAUGACUGAUAAUGUCUUGGAUUAACUGUGUGUGUGUAUGACACAAUUUUAACUAGUGUUAUUCACUUUGAAAGAAGCAGCAUGGAAAUUACUUGAUUGUACCAAGUUAAUUGGCUCAAAUAUCAAACGAGCUAGGAGCAGCUCAAUUUGCUGUCACAUGCCUUCUUUUUGCCUUUGAAAUUUGAUUCUUUUCCAGUUGCAUUAAGAUAGGUUGACUUGAAUAUGUCAAUAUAGCUAAGUUUUUGUGUUGUUACUGUUAUUCCAGUUCAACUUCAUCAGUCGCAACAGCCUGACACCAUUGCUAAUCGUCGAUGCUUAUUAAUUUAUUUGUGGUGAUGAAUUGAUAAGGUUCAGCUGCCUUGCCUCCUCUUCACAACAUUACAGUUCAAGGCGGACUAUAAUACUGACAGGAAAAUUGUUGCGAAACUGAAGUCAUGCUUGGAAAGAUCAAUCUUUUCGGGGAGUGAAGAUAAACUUUGGCGAGCUUUUGCCUCCCCUUGAUGUAUCUAAAGACGAUCUAUCAUUUAUUUAAUUCAUUUAUUUCUAUUAGUUCAGACCUUAGAUUAAAUUAUCUACAUGUUUUGUUCAUUUACUUUAGGAGAUAUGUUGAUGUAUCACUUUUAAUUUAAUUAAUUUGUUUUGGCUAGAGUA